rnacentral:rRNA from 1 species
UUAGAACGUCGUGAGACAGUUCGGUCCCUAUCUGCCGUGGGCGCUGGAGAACUGAGGGGGGCUGCUCCUAGUACGAGAGGACCGGAGUGGACGCAUCACUGGUGUUCGGGUUGUCAUGCCAAUGGCAUGCCCGGUAGCUAAAUGCGGAAGAGAUAAGUGCUGAAAGCAUCUAAGCACGAAACUUGCCCCGAGAUGAGUUCUCCCUGAGCCUUUAAGGGUCCUGAAGGAACGUUGAAGACGACGACGUUGAUAGGCCGGGUGUGUAAGCGCAGCGAUGCGUUGAGCUAACCGGUACUAAUGAACCGUGAGGCUUAACCUUACAACGCCGAAG